rnacentral:rRNA from 1 species
GGGUGGAAAAGAAACCAACAGGGAUUGCCCUAGUAACGGCGAGUGAAGCGGCAACAGCUCAAAUUUGAAAGCUAGCCUUCGGGUUCGCAUUGUAAUUUGUAGAGGAUGAUUUGGGGAAGCCGCCUGUCUAAGUUCCUUGGAACAGGACGUCAUAGAGGGUGAGAAUCCCGUAUGUGACAGGAAAUGGCACCCUAUGUAAAUCUCCUUCGACGAGUCGAGUUGUUUGGGAAUGCAGCUCUAAAUGGGAGGUAAAUUUCUUCUAAAGCUAAAUAUUGGCGAGAGACCGAUAGCGCACAAGUAGAGUGAUCGAAAGAUGAAAAGCACUUUGGAAAGAGAGUUAAAAAGCACGUGAAAUUGUUGAAAGGGAAGCGCUUGCAAUCAGACUUGUUUAAACUGUUCGGCCGGUCUUCUGACCGGUUUACUCAGUUUGGACAGGCCAGCAUCAGUUUCGGCGGCCGGAUAAAGGCUCUGGGAAUGUGGCCUCCACUUCGGUGGAGGUGUUAUAGCCCAGGGUGUAAUACGGCCAGCCGGGACUGAGGUCCGCGCUUCGGCUAGGAUGCUGGCGUAAUGGUUGUAAGCACCCGUCUGA